CCUACGGGUGGCAGCAGUGAGGAAUAUUGGUCAAUGGACGAGAGUCUGAACCAGCCAAGUAGCGUGAAGGAUGACUGCCCUAUGGGUUGUAAACUUCUUUUAUAUGGGAAUAAAAUGUUCCACGUGUGGGAUUUUGUAUGUACCAUAUGAAUAAGGAUCGGCUAACUCCGUGCCAGCAGCCGCGGUAAUACGGAGGAGCCGAGCGUUAUGCGGAUUUAUUGGGUUUAAAGGGAGCGUAGGUGGAUUGUUAAGUCAGUUGUGAAAGUUUGCGGCUCAACCGUAAAAUUGCAGUUGAAACUGGCAGUCUUGAGUACAGUAGAGGUGGGCGGAAUUCGUGGUGUAGCGGUGAAAUGCUUAGAUAUCACGAAGAACUCCGAUUGCGAAGGCAGUUCACUGGACUGCAACUGACACUGAGGCUCGAAAGUGUGGGUAUCAAACAGGAUUAGAUACCCUUGUAGUC
rnacentral:rRNA from 1 species